UAGCAAACCAGCCUGCUUCUCUGUGGGUGUAGAUUUUGUUAUCCUUCUUGCCAUUGCUCAGUUGUGUAAGCUUCACCCUACUCUCUCUCUUGUUUGACUCCAUUUUAUCUCCCACAGGAUAGCUAGAAAUGGUCACAGAACCUAACUUUAGGAACUCGAAUGUAUUCAGAUAGCCCUGUAUAUAUGAUGGGAUGAUGACAGGGUUUGUUAAAAGGCUGGUUUGUUAAAAGGAAGUUCAGCAUCCAAAGCAACUGCAUAUGGAAAAUGGGUUUCUUAAAAGGCAAUGGGCUAGAAGGUCAAGAUCCAAAGCAACUGUAUAUCAGAAAUGGAUAGAGUUAAUUAGUGUGCAUUGAAAAUAUUCCCUGUGAGAGCACGGUGAAAAAAGAAGUGAAGACAAUGCCAAUCCAUCUGUCUGGUCUGUCUAUUUCCAAAGGAAAACUGAAAGCACACUGGUGAGGAACAAAGCAGGAAUAAAAAAGUAUGCGACUUGAAGUCCAAAAUCAUA